UAUAUAUAGAUGUUUAUCAUGUCAUCUGCAAAUAAUGAAAGUUUUACUUCUUCCUGACCAAUUUGAAUAGCUUUUAUUUCUUUUUGUCUGAUUGCUGUAGUUAGGACUUCCACUACUGUGUUGUGGAAAGGGAUGA